AAGGGUCCGUAAAACGGUAAAUUAAGCGAAUACCUCACCUAUUCGGGGAGGUAGUAUAAUCGAACUGAUUUACUAGAGUCUUAUAGAAGAACAGAGGAAUUGCAAGAGUAAGGAUGAAAUCUAUUGAUACUUGUAGGACCGCCAAAGGCGAAGGCAUCGUUCUAGGUAAAGACUGACGUUGAGGGACGUAGGCGUUGGGAGCGAAAAGGAUUAGAUACCCCUGUAGUCAACGCUGUAAACGAUGAGUGCUUAAGAUUAGUAAUAAUUAUUAACAAGUUAUUAGGCUUUAAUGCCGUUAACUAUUAAAAAAAAAAAAUUAGUCUCGAAAUGAAGAUGUUAAGCACUUCACCUGGGGAGUACUGUCGCAAGGCUGAAACCCAAAACAUUAGACGGUCACGGAAACCAGCAGUGAAGCAUGUUAUUUAAUACGAUGAUCCGCGUACAACCUUACCACUUCUUGAAUGUCCUUUUCUGUAAAAAGAAAAGGCCUAUUUAAUUAAAAAACUUUAAUUAAAUUUGGAUAAAUACAACAGGCGUUGCAUGGCUGUCUUCAGUUCGUGUCGUGAGAUGUCAGGUUCAUUCCGGUCAACGAAUGAAACCCUUCUUUCUUAAUUUUGCUCUUUUUUUUUAUUAAUUUAAAUUAAAUUUAUUAAGAUGACCCUUGGAAAACGAGGAUAUAAUGGGGAUUAAGACAAGUCGUCAUGGCCUUUAUGAAGUGGGCUAUAGACGUGCCACAAAAGCUUUUACAAUAGGAUGCUAAGACGUGAGUCAGCGCUAAACCUUAAAAAAAGCUAUGUUCGGAUUGUAGUCUGCAACUCGACUACAUGAAGCAGGAAUUGCUAGUAAUCGUAA
rnacentral:rRNA from 1 species